rnacentral:rRNA from 1 species
AUACGGAGGGUGCAAGCGUUACUCGGAAUCACUGGGCGUAAAGGACGCGUAGGCGGGAUGCCAAGUCUGAUGUGAAAUCCUACAGCUCAACUGUAGAACUGCAUUGGAAACUGGUAACCUAGAGUAUGGGAGGGGGAGAUGGAAUUAGUGGUGUAGGGGUAAAAUCCGUAGAUAUCACUAGGAAUACCUAAAGCGAAGGCGAUCUCCUGGAACAAUACUGACGCUAAGGCGUGAAAGCGUGGGGAGCAAACGGGAUUAGAAACCCUAGUAGUCC